CAAGGGGUAGUUUAAGUAAAAUACUAGUUUUGGGAAUUAGUGAUAGGAAGGUUUUCUUUCCCUUGA
rnacentral:tRNA from 1 species